rnacentral:ncRNA from 12 species
AGUGGCGCAGCUUGGUAGCGCACUUGUUUUGGUUACAAGGGGUCGCAGGUUCAAAUCCUGUCU